GCCCGCCUAGCUCAAUCGGAUAGAGCGUCAGACUUUUACGAUCUCUUGGGUUACCGGGCUCCUGGGAAUACACGAUUGAAAAUCUGAAGGCUGCGAGUUCGACCCUCGCGGUGGGCU